rfam:Chelonia mydas contig135453, whole genome shotgun sequence.
UCACUGGUGCCUCUAGGCACCACCAUAGUAACAUAUUCGCUGUCU